rnacentral:misc_RNA from 1 species
CGCACAUUGCGCCCAUUAGUAUUCUAGUGGGCAUGCCUGUUCGAGCGUCAUUUCAACCCUUAAGCCUCUGUUGCUUAGUGUUGGGAGCCUACGGCACUGUAGCUCCUCAAAGUUAGUGGCGGAGUUGGUUCACACUCUAGACGUAGUAGAUUUUAUCUCGCCUAUUAGUUGGACCGGUCCCUUGCCGUGAAACCCCUAAUUUUUAAAGGUUGACCUCGGAUCAGGUAGGAAUACCCGCUGAACUUAA